UUGGAGAAGGGGGAGGACUUCUGGAGGUAAUCCCCCUCUUCCCAACCCAUCCCUCCCGGCCGCCUCGUUUCCUUUUCUGCCUCCUGGGGUCGAGGAGACCGAGGUUGUGGGGCAGGAAGGAAUGCAGGAUAGCCCUUGGCUCCAGUGGCUACUUGAGUAAUUCCUUCAUGGGGUCUACGUGAAAAAGAAAAGGCCUUUCCAGGAGGUGAAGAAAGAGGAAUGAAGUGAUUUGCUCCAUGUCCCAUAGUAAAUGGAAGAGCUGAUACUUAAAUAUAUAUCUCUUCACCAUGCUUUUUAAAGACCUGAUAUCUUCUGUUUUUACAUCUCCUUCAGUUCCCCAUCACAGAGUCAUCCCUUUUUACAUCACCUAGUACACCCUCCCAGAGUCAUCCCUUGUAGCAAAGAAUUUUUUUAAAUGAGAGAACAGAAUAAUUUAGCAGAA